GCCGGGCACAGUGGCACAUGCCUGUAGUCCCAGCUAUUCGGGAGGCUGAGGCUGGAGGAUCUCUUGAGUCCAGGAGUUCUGGGCUGUAGUGCGUGAUACCGAUUGGGUGUCUGCACUAAGUUCAGCAUCAAUAUGGUGACCUCCAGGGAGCAGGGGACCAUUAGGUUGCCUAAGGAGGGGUGAACCAGCCCAGGUCGGAAAUGGAGCAGGUCAAAACUCCGGUGCUGAUCAGUAGUGGUAUCGCGCCUGUGAAUAGCCACUGCACUCCAGCCUGGGCAACAUAGGGAGACCCCAUCUCU
rnacentral:SRP_RNA from 1 species